rnacentral:rRNA from 1 species
CAGUCGCCGCGGUAAUACGAAGGGGGCUAGCGUUGCUCGGAAUCACUGGGCGUAAAGGGUGCGUAGGCGGGUCUUUAAGUCAGGGGUGAAAUCCUGGAGCUCAACUCCAGAACUGCCUUUGAUACUGAAGAUCUUGAGUUCGGGAGAGGUAAGUGGAACUGCGAGUGUAGAGGUGAAAUUCGUAGAUAUUCGCAAGAACACCAGUGGCGAAGGCGGCUCACUGGCCCGAUACUGACGCUGAGGCACGAAAGCGUGGGGAGCAAACAGGAUUAGAUACCCCCGUAGUCCCUGUCUCUUAUAC